GACGAACGCUGGCGGCGUGCCUAAUACAUGCAAGUCGAGCGGCAAGUCGAGGAGUAAUCUGAGACCUAGAGCGGCGUACGGGUGCGUAACGCGUAUGCAACCUACCUCAUACAGGGGGAUAGCCCGGAGAAAUCUGGAUUAAUACCCCAUAGCACAGCACAAGGGCAUCUGCGAGCUGUUAAAGAUUCAUCGGUAUGAGAUGGGCAUGCGUCUGAUUAGCUAGUUGGCGGUGUAACGGACCACCAAGGCGACGAUCAGUAGGGGUUCUGAGAGGAAGGUCCCCCACACUGGCACUGAGAUACGGGCCAGACUCCUACGGGAGGCAGCAGUAGGGAAUAUUGGGCAAUGGACGAGAGUCUGACCCAGCCAUGCCGCGUGCAGGAAGAAGGCCUUCUGGGUUGUAAACUGCUUUUAUCUGGGAAGAAAAGGCCCAUGCGUGGGACAUUGCCGGUACCAGAUGAAUAAGCACCGGCUAACUCCGUGCCAGCCGCCGCCGUAA
rnacentral:rRNA from 1 species